AGGCGGAGUCAGUACACCAGGGAUGAACAUUAAAAGACAUCAUCAUGAAUCACGACCUUGUUGAAAGGUUCAAAGAGAAACUAGACCACUGCCCCAUCUCAGAUUAUCAUGGCCUGAACAGUCCAGGUCUGACGUGCUAUUUGAACAGCGUUCUUCAGGUGCUGUUCAUGACCGAAGACUUCCGGGAGGCUGUGAACCGAUCAUGCAGUGAAGAUUCAACAACCAUUGACACACAGCUAAGAAUAAUAUUUGCUGAAUUACAGACGCAUUUAGCGAAAACCAAUAACCUCACAGAAGAACUUGGCAUCAUAAACGUAUACGAGCAACGGGAUGCAGCAGAGUAUUUGGAGAAGAUUUUGUGUUUGACCAGUCCAGAGGCAUCCAUGAUAUUCAGGGGAGAGCUGACUCACAGCACCACAUGGUGCCAAGAGAGGAACGACUCCAGGGGCUUUUUUUUACUUCUCCCACUCGCGAUGGAAGACUUGCCUCAACAAACCUGCAGUGUGGUAAAUGGGUUGAAGGGAUUCUUCAAUGGAGAAAGGGUCUGUAGGGACAAAGUCUACUGCAACCGCUGCAAUAAAAAGCAAAGUGCAAACUUUAGAUGCAAGAUGACACAAAGUCCAGAGAAUUUGACCCUCCUGCUGAAGAGAUUCUAAUUUGACUACAAACGCAGGUGUUACGUGAAGCUUCACCUCAACGUGCAAGUUCCCCAGACUUUACACACAGAGAAUUGUAAGUAUGACCUCUACGCUUUAGUUAACCACUUUGGUAGUCUGACAGGAGGUCACUACACUGCUCAUAUCAAGUCUUUUGAAACUCACACAUGGUACCACUUCAAUGACGACACAGUGAACAGCGUCGUGCCACCACUGUUUGGGGCUGGAAAUGACUCUCUGAGGUCUCGUACAGCCUACCUCCUCAUGUACAGGAAGGUCAGGAGACAUACUGAAAAACCUGAUGAAGGCCUCAAGCAGCCUCCCUGCACACAUGAAGAUGUGGAUGCUGAAGGGAGAAAUCAAAAUAGAGCCACGGAGGUGAAGAAUAAAUACAGAUAAACACUUGGAAUCGCUUAGUGUGAAAAUAAUGCAGUGUUUGCUGAGUACAGAAGUUGAGCAUUUCUGUUGAAACAUUUCAAUUGGUGUGUGUUGCAUUAUGAGUUACUACAAUGUUUAUAUGGAUUACAAACAGUGUCACACCUCAUGUAGCGAGUGAUUAUGCUGUAGAAAGGUCAGCAGAAGGUCCUUAAAAUUAAGUUUUCUGUUGUAUAAACUGAUGUGUAACCAAAUGAUAUUGAUGUACAUUUUUAAACACACAAAUGAUUUGCAUACUUCAAUUAGAAACAAGUUGCUUUGCCGAAAAAAGUGUGUAAUCAAGCAUUUAGUAUAAGCUCAUGGAAUAUCAUUACUCACAAGAAUUGAAAUAAACAUUAAAAAUGUCUCAUUUUGCAAAAUGUAAUGUCUUUAGUUUUUAGCCUGACUUUAAGAACUUUA